rnacentral:rRNA from 1 species
GAUCCUGGCUCAGGAUGAACGCUGGCGGCGUGCUUAACACAUGCAAGUCGAGCGAAGCACUUAGGAAAGAUUCUUCGGUAUGAUUUCCUAUUUGACUGAGCGGCGGACGGGUGAGUAACGCGUGGGUAACCUGGCCUCAUACAGGGGGAUAAACAGUUAGAAAUAGACUGCUAAUACCGCAUAAGACCACAGCACCGCAUGGUGCAGGGGUAAAAACUCCGGUGGUAUGAGAUGGACCCGCGU